AUGGCGGCGGCGGCGGCGGCUGAGGAGGCUGAGGCGGUGAUGGCGGGGUUCGGUGGGCGCCGGCCGGGGCGGCCCUGACGGGGCCCGCAGCCCAGCAUUCCCGGUCUUGGAGAAUGCCUCACAGUCCUGCCCCCCCGGACCUGCCCGGAGCCCCCACCUCCGCCGCGGAGACGGCCUGAGCCCUGAACUUCGCCCCUGGGUCUCUAGGGCGUCUCGCCGAAUCUCCAACGGGGUCUCUGGGCCCGCAGCCUCGGGUCCUCGGGCCUUCCCAGCUCCUCCGAGGCCGCGUCCGUGACGUCCCGCCGGCCGGUGUCUCUGCGCCCCCCAGCCCCCCUCCCC